GUCUGAUAGAUGAUUCCAUAAAUUAAAAUAGAAAGACAUGAGAGAAUAUACAACAUUCUUAAUACAGGUCUGAAAAUGAUUAGUUUAAUAGAUAAUCCAUAAUGGAUUCUUGUCUGAAAAUUAAAUGAUUAGAUUAAUAGAUAAUCCAUAAUGGGAAAAAAAAAAUAAAAAAAAGAGUAGAUAAGUGAUUUUGCGAUAUAAGAGCAGUACCCAUAAAUAGCUUGAA
rnacentral:misc_RNA from 1 species